AUGGCGACCGGCGCACGGGUGAGUAACGCGUAUGCAACCUGCCCGAUACCGGGGUAUAGCCCGUGGAAACGUGGAUUAACACCCCAUAGUACUUUUAUCCUGCAUGGGAUGUGAGUUAAAUGUUCAAGGUAUCGGAUGGGCAUGCGUCCUAUUAGUUAGUUGGCGGGGUAACAGCCCACCAAGACGAUGAUAGGUAGGGGUUCUGAGAGGAAGGUCCCCCACAUUGGAACUGAGACACGGUCCAA
rnacentral:rRNA from 1 species